CUCGCCUGUAUAUAAAUCCGGUGCACACCGAAGAGGGACGAGCAGUCGCAGCAGUGCAAUCACUCAACCAGCCAUGAAGGUCGUCGCUCUCCUCCUUGUGGUCUGCGUCUCCGUGGGCUGGGCGAAGCCUCUCUGCUUCGGCGGCAUCUGCAUUCCUGCCAGCGAAGCUGCUGGGGGUGCCUCGGGCGAGGUCACCAGUGGUACAAACAUUGGCCCUGGUGGUGUCACUAAGGUUUCGUCCGUCGGCGCCUCUGCAGGGGGAACGGCCAGAGGACCAUGUGCAUCCAGCGUCAAUGUCGGAAAAGCCAAUAAGUUUAGCUCACAGACCAUCUUUGGCAAUACGGAUGAUAGCGACACUAGUGCCGUCUCAAUCCAACAAACCGACUGCUGAGUGACGCAGUCACAGUCAUCUCGGCAUGCGCCACAAUGGCACACAUGAAACGCCUGUUACAUCCACGAACGUUGUGAUAUCGAGCGUCGGUUGUGACAUGUGAUCGAAAUGUGCAAUACAGGCUUAUCCCGACA
rnacentral:lncRNA from 1 species